rnacentral:sRNA from 1 species
CCAACCAUAUACAAACCAUCACAAGGGGUCUGGGACUGAUGGGGUCCUAGUGCUGAGAGAGGAGAUAGACACAAGCUCUCAUCCCUAAAACAGAAGCUAUCUCCAAAAGAUUCCUGGAAAAGAGCAUGUUGCAUCCUGUGAAGUAGAUGGGUCUAUGAGAGCAGGCAUUAAGUCUCACGUUGCUUGCUGCUAAUCUGAUCUACAUAUUUUGUGAAAACUAGUCUCCAAAAAAGACUAGACAACUAUCAAUUUUGAAGCCGAGGGCGUCUGUACUAUUUCAUACAGAAGAGGGAGUCUCAUGAGAGCAUUCAAAGAAGGGAAACCAUACCAGAGCUCUGGGACACAUCGGGCUCCCUAUUUGAUCCUCACAGUGGCCCAUGAGUCAAGCAUUACCUGGAUUCUACAAGCUUAACAAUAAUAACAACACAACUGGGCUCCACAAAGAUCGGAGAAGGAUCAGGCAGAGUUUUUAUGUCUUAGAGAUGGUCAGAGCGCACCCUACAGAGGAGGCCACUUGGCCAGGCAGUGAGCAUGAGGUGAACACACGAGAAGAAGGUUGUUGCUAAAUUCUCGACGCCUCCAUCCACAGAGGUUUGAAGGCAAUGUGGACAGAGAGAGCAGUGACUGCAACUGUGGACUUCAACCCAAAUGACCCAAGAUCAGAAGCUAUAAACCCUGAUACUAUCUAUAAACAGCUUCUCAUUGGCUAUCUCUAGGCAGGAUGUUACAAGCGCAGAAUCAAUUCUGAUUUAUUCCUCUGUGAUCAACCUGAUCCUGACGCCAUUCUUUCAUCACAAGUACAAAGCUUGAUCAUUAAAGUUUCAAGUUGAGAAGCUUUUGAUUUUAAAUAAGAAGUUUUGAUGACAACGUCCUGGAAAGAGGGAUUCGGAUGUUUUUAUCAUCUUCUCCUUACAUAUUUGAAUACUUUGGAAGAGUUCAGAGCAAGGCACCCAAGACAGGCUUGUGUUCUUAAAGGCUCCUAAUACCUCACCCAGGUGUCUCGUCAUUCCAGGUCUCAUGGUUGUUUUUCUCAAGAUCGGGCUUCAACCCUCCCUGCCCCAGUCUCUGAAUGGAUUACAGUUUGGGAACAGAGUGUCUUGGUCACCCUCUCUGAAGACUCUGAAGACUGGCUCUUCACUGUCUAGCUGGCCCAUUUCAUACGCAAACUUUGGGAAAGUUUUCUGUGGCUAAUGUUUUACAUAUGUGCUGCUAAUGUGGGUACUACCAUCCAGUC